AGAGAAGCCCAGGGAGUCCAACAACAGACUCCAGCUAUAGGGGGCUCUAAGCUUACAGUCUGUAUCCUCAUCCCGCUACAUGGAAUUCUCUCUUUCCCAGCCCAUGCCCUCUUCCAUUUUAUGGUAUUCUGACUUCAGUUGGGUCAAGUGGCCUGAGUGCUGUGUGUCUUCGCAUAGAGGAAGAAUCAACAUAACGUAUCAACUAAUUGCAUAUGGAGGCCACAAAUUGGAGAUGAAGGGAGGAAAUAAGCAUUUAUUAAGUGUCUACUGUGUUUCCAGGCACUGUGCUAAAUUCCAUACAAAUAUGACCUCAUUUGAUCCUUACAACUCUGGGAGGUAGGUGCUAUUAUGGCCUCCCUUUUAUAGUUGAGGAAGGUGAAACAAAUUUAGUGACUUACCCAGGGUCACACAGCUGGUAAGUAUCUUUGGCCAGAUUUGAAUUCAGGUCUUCCUGACUCCAGGCCCAGCAUUCUAUCCACUGGGCCACCUAGCUUGAAGACGAUUUCAAGAUUACAAAUUAGGGGAAAAGAUGGUGAUUCCUUCAACAGGAAUAGUGAUGUUAGAAAGAGGGGGAUGUUUUAAGGGAGAGAUAAUGAGUUCUAUUUGGGUCAUUCACCUGGGAAAUGUCCACUAGGCAGUUAGUGAAGUGGGAUGAGAACUCAGGACUAGGAAAGGAGAGUUAGAUCUGGGAGUUCUCUGUGUGGAGAUGACAGCUGAACCCACAGGAGCUGAUGAAAUCUCCAACAGAGAGUAUAAAGAGAAAAAAGGUCCUGGAAAGAGCCCGGGGAGACAGCAGAAGAGAAUGAGAAGGGGGUCAGAGAGGCAGGAGGAGAAACAGGAGACAUCAACGUCCCAGAAUGGAGGAUGCGUGAGGAGGGGGCAGCCAGCUGUCAAAUACCGCACAGAGGCCAGGCGGGCCCAAGGCAAAGACGGCAUCUUGUUUGCAGUGAGAUGAUGCGGGUCAGGAUUGCACAUGCAGAGAGGCCAGGCUCGUGGACUGCUCAGAAGCCUGGUGCCUGUGUCUUCAAGAAGAGAGUUGGGAGGCACUGGACAUAGCGAUCGCUUAAUGACAGCCCAGAAGAUGGAAUGGACUGUGUCUUGGUAGGCAGGGGAGAAUGGCAAGAAGUCAGACCAUGACUAGACUUUGGGAGCCAAGAUCAAAAUUAACACCAAAUUAGAAGAAAGAAGAGAAAAUGCUAUGGUGCACCAUUAAAUUAGCUUUGACCUGAUCUUACUUUUUCUUUCUUUUUUCUUUUUUUUUUUUUGGUUAGGCAAUUGAGGUUAAGUGACUUGCCCAUGGUCACACAGCUAGUAAGUGUCAAGUGUUUGGUCUGAGGCCA
rnacentral:lncRNA from 1 species